rnacentral:rRNA from 1 species
CCUACGGGAGGCAGCAGUGGGGAAUCUUGCGCAAUGGGCGAAAGCCUGACGCAGCCAUGCCGCGUGAAUGAUGAAGGUCUUAGGAUUGUAAAAUUCUUUCACCGGGGACGAUAAUGACGGUACCCGGAGAAGAAGCCCCGGCUAACUUCGUGCCAGCAGCCGCGGUAAUACGAAGGGGGCUAGCGUUGCUCGGAAUUACUGGGCGUAAAGGGAGCGUAGGCGGAUAGUUUAGUCAGAGGUGAAAGCCCAGGGCUCAACCUUGGAAUUGCCUUUGAUACUGGCUAUCUUGAGUAUGGGAGAGGUAUGCGGAACUCCGAGUGUAGAGGUGAAAUUCGUAGAUAUUCGGAAGAACACCAGUGGCGAAGGCGGCAUACUGGCCCAUUACUGACGCUGAGGCUCGAAAGCGUGGGGAGCAAACAGGAUUAGAUACCCUGGUAGUCCACGCUGUAAACGAUGAGUGCUAGUUGUCGGCAUGCAUGCAUGUCGGUGACGCAGCUACGACAUAAGACACUCCGCCGUCGGGAGGUACGGUCGCGAAGUAAGUUAAACGUUAAAGUUAGUAAGUUAGUUACGGCGUUGAGACGUGCCGACGGACGACGACGAGGGAGGAGG